rnacentral:rRNA from 1 species
UACGGAGGGUGCAAGCGUUGCUCGGAAUUAUUGGGCGUAAAGGGUAGGUAGGUGGUCUCAUUUGUCUGGGGUGAAAGCCUUGAGCUUAACUCAAGAAGUGCCCCAGAAACGGUGAGACUGGAGUCCUGGAGAGGGUCGUGGAAUUCCCGGUGUAGCGGUGAAAUGCGUAGAGAUCGGGAGGAACACCAGCGGCGAAAGCGGCGACCUGGACAGGUACUGACACUCAACUACGAAAGCGUGGGGAGCAAACAGG